GUCCGUCUGCUAUGUCCAACUUUGUCACAAUUUUGGCACGUAGUUCUAUUUUCGACUUUUGUCCUAUCCAUUUUAUUCCUCAGUCUAGAGGAUCAUGGCCUUCCCUUUUGUCGCAAUCGUUCUUUUUAUGGUAUAUGGUGAUGUCACUUGUUUGUUGCGUCUAAUAAUCUGUAUGCGGGAUGGGUUGGAAUUAAUGACUAUAACUAUGAUG
rnacentral:lncRNA from 1 species